AUUGAACGCUGGCUGCAGGCCUAACACAUGCAAGUCGAUAGAGAGGGUGACGGGGGAGAAAUGUCUGUUAAAUCGCCUGUUGGAGGGGGAUAACUACUGAUAACAGUAGCUAAUACCGCAUACCAUCGGAUGUUCCCAGAUGGGAUUGGCUAGUAGGUGGGGUAAAGGCAAACCUAGGCGACGAUCCCUAGCUGGUCUGAGAGGAUGACCAGCCACACUGGAACUGAGACACGGUCCAGACUCCUACGAGAGGCAGCAGUGGGGAAAAUUGCACAAGGGGCGCAGGCCUGAUGAAGCCAUGCCGCGUGUAUGAAGGGGGCCUUCGGGUUGUAAAGUACUUUCAGCGGGAAGGAGUUAACCGAAGAAGAAGCACCGGCUAACUCCGUGCCAGCAGCCGCGGUAAUUC
rnacentral:rRNA from 1 species